rnacentral:misc_RNA from 1 species
GAUGAAGAACGCAGCGAAAUGCGAUACCUGGUGUGAAUUGCAGAAUCCCGCGAACCAUCGAGUCUUUGAACGCAAGUUGCGCCCGAGGCCACCCGGCCGAGGGCACGCCUGCCUGGGCGUCACGCCAAAACACGCUCCCACCCCCCCUCACCGGGGGAGCGGGACGCGGCGUCUGGCCCCCCGUGCCGCGAGGCGCGGUGGGCCGAAGAUCGGGCUGCCGGCGUACCGUGCCGGGCACAGCGCGUGGUGGAUCUCUACUCGGCGCAGUGCACCCGGCGCGUAGCCGGCGCAGCGGCCCCUAGGGACCCAACGAACGGAGCGCGAGCCGCUCCGACCGCGACCCCAGGUCAGGCGGGACUACCCGCUGAGUUUAAGCAUAUCAAUAAGCGGAGGA